GAUGAACGCUGGCGGCGUGCCUAAUACAUGCAAGUCGAACGCAUUGUGGUUGAAAUGAUAUGAAGAACUUGUUCAGAUUUGAUUUUCAACAUUGCAAUGAGUGGCGAACGGGUGAGUAACACGUGGGAAACCUACCUCUUAGCAGGGGAUAAACAUUUGGAAGCAAAUGCUAAUACCGUAUAAUAAUUAAAACCGCAUGGUUUUAGUUUAAAAGAUGGUCUUGCUAUCACUAAGAGAUGGUCCCGCGGUGUAUUAGUUAGUUGGUGAGGGUAAUGGCUCACCAAGACAAUGAUACAUAGCCGAGUUGAGAGACUGACCGGCCACAAUUGGGACCUGAGAC
rnacentral:rRNA from 1 species